AAUUGGAGGGCAAGUCUGGUGCCAGCAGCCGCGGUAAUUCCAGCUCCAAUAGCGUAUAUUAAAGUUGUUGCAGUUAAAAAGCUCGUAGUUGAAUUUCGGGAUUGACGUGAUGGUCGUGCCUUAAGGGGUAUGAACUGUUGCUGUUGAUUUCUCACCUUCUGGAGAAACUUGAUGUCCUUAAUUGGGUGUCUUGCGGAUCCAGGACCUUUACCUUGAAAAAAUUGGAGUGUUUAAAGCAGGCAUUUUGCUCGAAUACAUUAGCAUGGAAUAAUAGAAUAGGACGGCAUGGUUCUAUUUUGUUGGUUUCUAGGAUCACCGUAAUGAUUAAUAGGGAUAGUUGGGGGCAUUAGUAUUCAAUUGUCAGAGGUGAAAUUCUUGGAUUUAUUGAAGACUAACUACUGCGAAAGCAUUUGCCAAGGAUGUUUUCAUUAAUCAAGAACGAAAGUUAGGGGAUCGAAGACGAUCAGAUACCGUCGUAGUCUUAACCAUAAACUAUGCCGACUAGGAAUCAGACGAUGUUAAUUUUUUAAUGACUCGUUUGGCACCUUACGGGAAACCAAAGUGU
rnacentral:rRNA from 1 species